AUUGAACGCUGGCGGCAUGCCUUACACAUGCAAGUCGAACGGCAGCAUGGAGAGCUUGCUCUCUGAUGGCGAGUGGCGAACGGGUGAGUAAUGCAUCGGAACGUACCGUGUAAUGGGGGAUAACGUAGCGAAAGUUACGCUAAUACCGCAUACGACCUGAGGGUGAAAGCAGGGGAUCGCAAGACCUUGCGUUAUACGAGCGGCCGAUGUCAGAUUAGCUAGUUGGUGAGGUAAAGGCUCACCAAGGCGACGAUCUGUAGCGGGUCUGAGAGGAUGAUCCGCCACACUGGGACUGAGACACGGCCCAGACUCCUACGGGAGGCAGCAGUGGGGAAUUUUGGACAGUGGGGGCAACCCUGAUCCAGCCAUGCCGCGUGAGUGAAGAAGGCCUUCGGGUUGUAAAGCUCUUUCGGCCGGGAAGAAAUCGCACAGGCUAAUACUCUGUGUGGAUGACGGUACCGGCACAAGAAGCACCGGCUAACUACGUGCCAGCCGCCGCGGUAA
rnacentral:rRNA from 1 species